UCAAGAUUUUGAAUAUUUACCAUAACUGGAUUAGAUUCUAGUUAUGUGCAGAACUGACUGGAAAAUAAACUGGCAUCCUGAUUUGCAUUCAUUCUGCACCAGUGGUUCCCCUGUCAAAUUUGUUCAGUGUGGAAGAUUUGGCCAAGAGCUGGGUUUGUGUAUUACCUGUUACUGCAGGCAAAAGCCUGAAGUAUGUGUUGGCCCAAAUCCCUGACAUAUAUAAGGAAUGACAUAUUGCUAUACAGAGAAUAGGAAUAUUGGAAUUAAAAUAUACUUAGUGUUCGGUCAGGAAGAGGGUUGGGGGGCAGGAUUUGCACCUAGAUAGCCAGGAGCCUGCAUUUAUAGAGCGUGAAAAUAGCUGCUGAAUGGAAGGUGACCUCCGUGUGUGAUUUCCAGGUAGCUUCCUUGUACUACUCCUGCCCUACGAGGUCUGGGAUGGGGGAUGUGAACCGCUUGUGCUUUGUGACCGCGCUGCCACUCGAUCAGACAGCAAAAGAGCUUGCUAUUAGCAGUGUGCAGGGAACAGGGGCACGAGCAGAAGCCCCGGGUAUCCUGUGAGGGCAACCUGUGGCGGCGAAGAAAACCGUGGAGGGACCUCAAAAUCAAUAGCAGCAAGAGAAAAGGGCUCGGUCGGAGCCCCGCAGCAGAAGCGGCAGCACAGGGAAGGUACUGAGGUUUAUGCAAUGAUCCUUGGAGAUGUUGCGUCUUCAGCGAGAAGAAGGUUUUCACGGGAGAGGAAAGAGGUGAUGGUGUUUACUGUCAGCUUCACCCUGGAUCCCUGGUACGAGCCAGAGCCCAAGACUGUUGAGCAAUUGCCUAACAAGCAUCGAGAGCCCAAACAUCUGCUCUGAAACUGCGUGGGAGAGGAGAAAACAUCUCGAGUAGUCAAAAAUAGCUUGAGAGAAGAGGAAAAACUGUAAGUUACACAGUAUACGUAAGUGCCUAGGUAACGUUCACUCUCUGGAGCAACAGAGACUAUAUUCAUGGUCACGAGACCUAAUUCAGGUCUUACGACAAACGUCGUUCUGCUGUUUUACUGCUCAUAUGUGGAAAUACAUGCCGAGUCAUUGCAGGCCGGUGAAUUAUAUAGACAAACAUCCUUGCAAACACCCCAGUGUUAUAAUUAAGGAUGAAGUGCUUUUUUUUGCACAUAUAUUUUGUGAGAAACAGGUCAGUCUGCAACAGCAAACCGACAAAGGAUUACUUCAGACCAUAAGGUAAGAGGGAAACUUCUCCUGGAGAAGCAGCAGGAAUCCUUUUGCUUGAAAGUACAGAACAAGAUAAAUACCAUGUUACCUUUUGGGUCAACUGCCUGUGUAGACUUCUGUCAGGACUGUUUCUAACACUUAUGCAUACUGCACAAUUUAGGAUCAUAUAGCUUUUUUUUUUCCUUUUUUUUUUUCCUCUUUUUUAACCUUGCUGUUCAAGAUAAACUGUAGCAAAAUGGGAUAGCGUUUUGAUUGCUGUAAUCAUACCUACCACACUUAAAUGUUCUGAAGUGUUCUUCAUCUCCUAAUUUUCAGCUAUCAGUAGCAUUUAUGACCCACUUUUCUCGCUCUUG